rnacentral:piRNA from 1 species
UGAGGGACAAAAGCAGGGAGUACUCCAC